rnacentral:misc_RNA from 1 species
AAUGAACAAGUUAAUAAACACCACUAUCAUAAAACCUUGUAUGCACACUGCUCACAAAAGCUUCAUGCUAAACAAGUGAAUAAUGCCUGUAUAAGGAAUCUUACACUAUUCACACACUACAUAUGUAAAACACAGGUCCCAAAUUUGUAAAUGAAAAACUAGAUCAGAUUUGCUCAAGAAAAACUUUUGUAGACAGAUUAUUAAGAUUCAAACACCUAAACAGUAGAAGAAAUACAAAUCCCACAGAAAAAGUUACAGUUAGUCCAAAAUCAAAAUAGAAUAUUUUAGUACAAAGGAGGUACCUUGUUUGUCGGUCAUU